UACGGGGGGAGCAAGCGUUGUUCGGAUUUACUGGGCGUAAAGGGCGGGUAGGCGGCCACCGCAAGUCAGUUGUGAAAUCUCUGGGCUUAACCCAGAAAGGUCAACUGAUACUGCGGGGCUAGAGUGCAGAAGGGGCAACUGGAAUUCUCGGUGUAGCGGUGAAAUGCGUAGAGAUCCGGAGGAACACCAGUGGCGAAAGCGGCCACCUGGACUGCACCUGACGCUGAAACGCGAAAAGCUAGGGGAGCGAACGGGA
rnacentral:rRNA from 1 species